GAUCCAGUUGGGAUGAGAUCAGUUGGGAUGAGGGUGGGGUCGGAUGGGAGGAAGAGGGAUCCAGUUGGGAUGAGGAUGGGUUCAGGUGGGGGGAAGAGGGAUCCAGUUGGGAUGAGGAUGGGUUCAGGUGGGGGGAAGAGGGAUCCAGUUGGGAUGAGGAUGGGUUCAGGUGGGGGGAAGAGGGAUCCAGUUGGGAAGGGGUUCAUUGGGAUGAGGAUGGGGUCAGUUGGGAAGAGGGGUUUCGAUGGGAAGAGGGAUCCAAUUGGGAUGAGGAUGGGUUUAGGUGGGAAGAAGAAGGGUCCAGUUGGGGAAGGGAUGGGUUCAGAUGGGACAAAGAGGGACCCAGUUGGGAUGAGGAUGGGGUCAGUUGGGAAGAGGG